AAAGUCGUAACAAGGUCUCCGUAGGUGAACCUGCGGAGGGAUCAUUAACGAAUGGUCUUCUGGCCUUAACCCUCAAACCUGUGGAAGCAAGUUGUGCUUCGGCGACCCCGUCAAACGGGCCGCCGCAUUUAUGCUGUAUAGUGUUUGCGUCUGAAUACAAACAAAAAUUAAAACUUUCAACAAAGGAUCUCUUGGCUCUC
rnacentral:misc_RNA from 1 species